rnacentral:rRNA from 1 species
UACGAAGGGGGCUAGCGUUGCUCGGAAUCACUGGGGCGUAAAGGGUGCGUAGGCGGGUCUUAAGUCAGGGGUGAAAUCCUGGAGCUCAACUCCAGAACUGCCUUUGAUACUGAAGAUCUUGAGUCCGGGAGAGGUGAGUGGAACUGCGAGUGUAGAGGUGAAAUUCGUAGAUAUUCGCAAGAACACCAGUGGCGAAGGCGGCUCACUGGCCCGGUACUGACGCUGAGGCACGAAAGCGUGGGGAGCAAACAGG